ACAUCGACAGACCGCCGAACGGACAGAGUUUUCCCUGUACGUCCUAGGCGUCGCAAUCAAUACAAUUCACGAUGUUCCAACCAGGAACAGAAAUCAACAUACAGAUUGCAUAUGGAAAGGUAUCAACAACAUAAACACAUCCUAUGUUAUUACAAGCAUUCACCUUGAUACAUUUGCUUACAUCACAAUUACACUUUCUCUCCAACAUACAAUCUGAGUUAUUACAAUUUAUUACAUAUUUGAUACAUCUUGUUCUUUCAUUUUUCUCUCUACCCCUAGGCUAUGCCGACACGGGGUACCACUAUCUCUGGUCUCUGGGUAGGGCGCUAUCUACGGAGCUACGCCCUUGCCUCGCGCCGCCGCGCCGCUCACGUGCAAACCUGUAAAACCCCAAAACAACGUGGGGUGAGAACCAACUCCAUGGUUCCCAGUAGGUACGGCCACCCAAGGGAAAAGCUCGACCACUAGGUCCAAGGAGGCACUGCAACAAGUUAGUCCAAUAACAUAUAAUAGAUAUAUAUAUUCGAUAUUGAACUAAAUGUCAUGCCUCGCAAAAUGCAAUAUGCAAUACCUGUAACUUUAUGCAAGUAGAUUAAUUGAUUCUACUUCAUAUUAUUAACCAUUCUUUACUUGUAGCCGUUCUUUACUUUAUUAAUUAUUCUUUAUCAUUAGCUUUUCUCUAGUCUUUACUUGGUCACAUAACGCUCAUUGGCGAUUCUUUCCUAAGGUUGCUCAUACCUUAGCCAUCUAUACCACUCGACUCGGUCUUGAGUCAAUCCUCUGCGGAUAGUCCGCACACUGGCUGCUCAACAGCCCAUCGCACUCGAUGACUCAGCCACCCGGCGGCGAAAUCGUCGCACACGCUCAGCUCUGGCUUAAGUCACCCUGCGGCAUGAUCCACAAACUGGCUCAACCAUCCGGCGGUGAAAUCGUCGCACACGCCACGACAAUGGUUCUUUAGCCCCGGGCGGCGAAAUCGUCGCACAUACCCCGCACCACUCUUGGUGUUCCACAAGUCCUGGGAUUCCGGAACCCAUUUCACAGUACUCAAGGGUUGGUCUUAACCCUAUGAAAUUGACCUAUCUAGGUCCAAGCCUUUACUCAACCUAAGUUAAUACUUUAGGUUCAUUGCUUUCAUACUCUUAGCCUAGGUUUAUUAACACUAGGUCCAUUAUUCUCAUCUACCUAGAUUCACUUGACUCUAGGUUCUUACCUUUAUCUCACAACCUAGGUUACUUUGACUCUAGGUUCAUGCCACUUAUUAAUUCAACCUAUGUUCUUUGACACUAGGUUAGAUGCCACUCGAUCUAUAGGUGCGUUUAUGUCCACCUACACAUACCCUUUACUUUAGUAUUCUUACCUCAUCAUUAUGCAUUAUCAUUAGCAUAGUUUCUACUUUAGACUAACAUGCAAUGCUACUUUAUAUCAUUUACUUAGCAUUAACCAAAUACUUACAUUUAGCAUUUCUACACCAUACUUAUCAUGUAUAGACUUAGCAUUCCUUACAUUAACGUUUCUAUGGCAUGCAUUAUGUAUUCAUUUAGCAACUAUAUGCAUCAACAUAAUUUCACAAUUCUCUUAGACAUAACGGCGACCUAGUCGCUUCGGUAAACACAACCCACCUUAACUCGCGUUCCGAUUGCUUGUCGACACUUGCAAUCGGCCUCCCGCGGCACCCGUAUCCGGCACGGCCCAAUAUUGCAACUGCGCCA
rnacentral:lncRNA from 1 species